rnacentral:rRNA from 1 species
UAUAAGACAACCUACCCCGAAAUUGUGAAUGGUUCUUUAAACCCCCUUAUAACUCGCUCGGUUAUUUAUUAAUAUUUGGAAACCCCUGGUAAUUUUAGAGGUUAUACAUGGGUUAAUUCGGGGCUUUUUGGAGAAGCUGCACAUUUUAGAUUCAAAACCAAUUUGCGUAGCAGAAUUUGGAUGACUCAUGAUAAACUAACGGAGCGCAUGACUUGUGUUGGCGGCGCAUCGUUCAAGUUUCUUCCCUAUUAGCUUUUUACGGUAGGGUAUUGGGCUCCCGCGGCGCUUAUGGGGGACGGAGAAAUAGGGGGGGACUCCCGAGAGGGGGGCCGCGAAAAGGCGGCCACCUCUAAAGAAGGCAGCAGGCGGGUAAA